rnacentral:lncRNA from 1 species
UGAGGGUGAGGGUGAGGGUGAGGGUAGUGAACGGAUCAGCCUUUUCGACAGGCCUCAAAACGAAAUAAUGAAGCUCAUUUUUGCAGUUAAUUACCUUGUUCCUGAUGAGGGCCAUGCCAGCUUUGAUGUUCAUGCUAUUUUCUCGACUAGUCAGAAAAUCAUUAAGGAUUCGGCCAACAUCAUUCACAAUAUUAUUGAGCAGGUAUUUAUACUGCUGCAUCUUUCUAUCUGCUCUUAAUAACUUUAAGCAGAAAGAAAAUAGUGCUCAUUUAGUGUUUUUUUUUUUUAUAAUAGUGGGCACUCGACAACUCUAAACUGUUCGUGAUUUUUUUCUUCUUUUCAUAUUUUUUCCUUGCGACUGUUUUUUGUUUCUUCCCGUUCUGAGUGUUAUGUUAUGAGAAUUACACUAUGGACAAACUUCUAAUUGCAAACUUGAAACUUGACUCGAUUUAUUGAUCAGCAGUACCCAAAAAUAGCCUAAAUGUUACAUCAAUAGGAAAAGGAUCAUGCGAGGAUCCUUUUCCUAGGGAUCUUAGCGAUCCCGCAAUCAUGUCCGUACGAUGAACAAUAACAUUGUGCGGUCAAUUUUCGUUAGGUAAUAUUUAUAUUUGCAUUUUAAAUUUUAAAUAAUUUCUGACUGCACAAUGUACGAUAAACGAACACGAUUGUGGGAUCCUUAGGAUCCAUAGGAAAAGGAUCCGGCAAGGAUCCUUUUCCUCGUCAAUAUAGGAUAGCUUGAUUUGUGAAAAAAAAAACUCAGAUUAAAUGUUUAAAGAAAUGCACUUCAGUAAUGUCUUAGUGUUUAAGAAUAAUUAGAUAUUAGUUGAAACACCCAAAGAUGAUUACCACUUUUGCAUGUCUUGUCGCAGGGCAGCGGAUUUAAUGAUGUUGAAACACCCAAAGCCAGCUCCAGCUUGUGCACUCUUGUUAACUCCUUUGGCUGCAAGGUCAUCGUAUUAACUGAAUACUAUUUUUCUUUUUGUUCUUAAUUUGGUAAUCCUUUUAGUAAUUACUGGUGAAAAUGAGAAUGCUGUUUAAUUUUUGUUUAAGAAAUUAUAUUGUCAUUGUCAAAUAUAUUUGAUUGAAGUUUGAUGUUAAAUUAAUAAGAUUUUUUUAGUUUCCUUUUUAGCACUUUUAAUCGUAUCUUCAUUGAUGCAUCUUCCAAUGAAAAAGUGUUAAUUUUAUCCAAAGAUGAAAACCCUAUUGUCCCGUUUUAUGUUGUUAACAACACUAUGAUGCAAUUUCAGACGUCGUGUAAGAGUCCAGGUGAUGAAACUGCCUUUGAAUCACGUACGGAAGAAAUACUUACAAGACUAUCAAGUUAUCCAUGUGAAGUACAGGUAGUAUUGGCCCUGGCGAUUUUUGCUUUGGAAUAUGAAGAAUGUUCCAGCCAACUUUCCAAGAAAUCGACAACGCUGAAACGCCAAGAUGCAGUAGUCGAGCUUAACAAUCUGGUCAACCAAGCGUUACAAGUGAUUGAGCACAUCCUUGAGUUGGAGAAACUAAUUUCUGGUGAUCGAGACAGUGAACCAAAAUUGGCGAGGGUAAUUAUGGAUACCCCAUUUAAUGCCUUCUGGUCAAUCAUAACUCUUGUAGCUUGCACAACUGAGCUCUCACUUCUUACCGGUGACGAGUAAGUUCUUGUACUAAUUUUUCUAUUAAGAUUUGAUAAAAGAAAAACAAAAACAUUUCUUCUUGCCAACUACGUAUACGGGUUUUAUGUGUGUGUGUGUGUAAAACUAAAAGGGUUCUUUUUGUUAAAAUCUAUAUUUGACAGUGUUUUUGUGAUGUAAUUUCUAAGAACAAGGAAUGAAGAACAACACAGAGAAUUUCAGAGAGAAUUGUAGGAGCUAAUCGUAGCUGCACUGCAAGAUAUUUUCAUUGAUUCAAACAUUGGUUGUUUGUACAAUCUUAUCUCUUCUUCUCUUCACUACAAAACAAAGACAACUAGCUAAAAGCAAUUUAAGCCCUUCAAUUAGGAAACUAAUAUGGUGCAUACAAUUGUCCUAUGAGACUAAGUCCACACCUUACCCACUAACAUAAAUUAAAACUAGCCACCCCCCAAAUUUAAAACUGGCAGAUUUCUUACAAUCCAAACUUUCGGGGACAUUAAGUCAAAUUUGCUAUAAUCCAAAUUUAAAACUGGAUUUCUUGCAGUUAAAACAUCUUGAAGGUUUGGUAUAUUAUAAAUUUGCUAAUUAUAUCUGACUAUCAUUUGAUUUGCUCUUAAAUUAUUUCAGGGACAUUAAGUCAUAUGAUCUAUCCCCUUUUUCUCAAAAAAUGGGCUUCAUCCUCAACAAGCUUGAUGGACAGCUUACAAUCUGCCAACAAGAAAAAAGGUCGGUUGUGGAUGCAUGAUAUGACUCCCGAGGGACAUUAUAUAUUGCAUUUGCCAUUAGUCCAAUAUUGUUGAAUCUAUUUUAUUUUUUCUAAUUAAUACAGAGGAGGCAAAGGCCAAGGAAAAGUUUUGGGAACUUAUACGCACUGCCCCUCCUGAAAUUACCGAGGUUUUCCAAAGGCUGGUUCUUUUCAAGCAUAAAGCGUAUCCGCAGCCUCCCAUCAUCAGUGUUAAUCCCACUAGCAAGGAGGUUUGGUCCCCUAGCACAUUGAUUUUCUUCGUAUCUGUAUUACUACUCAGCAACUUAUUUAAUUGUAGUUAUCUUCCUUAUUUUUUGGGUAAUCUGGGGAGGGGGGCGAACACCAAAAACACCUUGUUUGAUAUCCUAUUUGAAAUUUUUUAUAAUUUCUCAAAACAUUUCUUAAGAACUUUUCUUGAAAACAAUUUUCUUUAAGACUCAAAAAUGGUAUCCUAUUUUAGUUGUUGUUUUUUAACCUGUGUUUUUAAGACUCAAAAAUUCUUCUCUCUGUGAAUAAGCAGUCUCCAGCACCACCGUUCAAAUCACAUCUGAGACUCCAACAAACACACAAACCUCAUACCAAAAACACAGGUUCAACCUUGCAGCUCCAACACCGAUUUCUACCCUCUCAUCUUUCUUCACGGUCUCCCCUCUCCCUAUAGUUUCUCACUACCCAGUACCCGUUUCUUUAAUUUUGCAUCAGAAAUUAAGGAAAAUAAGGAAAGAUAAAUCGUAUUUAUUAAAUAAAAAACGAUACAUCCAAAUGAAAAUUUAAAUCACUCUGGACUUCAGCUCGAAAUAAUCACCCGGGAUUGAAUCCAAAAUACCAACAAUCAUAUUUAUCCUUCCGCCGUCAAGCUCCGCACCAGAAAGACAUCGUUUCCUCCAUAAGAUCCAAAAGAGAGACCAUACGACGGAAACUACGGAGAUGAGGAAAAACUUAAUGUAUCUGUCAGUGUACUCUUCCCACAAAAUCUGAUGGAAGCAACGAGCGAAGCAGAGCACAAACGACAGAAUUGAAAGACGUUCAAGAAGUUGAAGUUAUCAGAUGCAGUGACAGUGCGAGACAAAGUCUACCUAGGACAUUGAUUUUUUUUCAUAUAUGUAAUACUACUCAGAAACUUAUUUAAUUGUAGUUAUCUUCUUUUAUCUAUUUUUCACGUACAGGUUUUUAACAUCGAUGCGCUAAAGGGGGAAGUGUGUGUUUUAUUUUACAUUUCAAGCCUGGACAAUGUUUCUGAUCAAGAUAUUUUAUGUCUCAAAGAAGUGUAUGAGGGAAUCGAUAGGCAUAACAAGCGUGCGAUUGUGUGGAUCCCUGUUGUUGAGGACUGGACCGAAGGAGGAGAAGAGCAGUUUAAGGAAUGGAGGUCUAAGAUGCCAUGGUACGCGGUGCAAUAUUUUUUUUGCCCCCCGGCCAUUGGGUACCUUGAGCAGCGGUGGAACUUCAAAGGUAAUCCUAUGGUGGUCGUGAUGAACCAGACCGGAAUUGUGGUAAACACCACCAUAAUCGACUUGAUUCGGACACAAGCAACGAAGGCAAUCGCUUUGCUUAACCUUGAGCGGCGGGUGCACAUCAGAAGGUAAUCCUCACGAAGAGGACCCGUCGUGGAUCCUCCUGGCCAGUGGACCAUUUAAUUCAAGGUCAAUAGAAAGAGCACAUAAAAUUAUGUUGGCAAUGCUAAAUCUAAUGAUUUUGUUUCUCCUUUUUAUAAUUAUUUAAGCAGGUGGUGCCCUGUUUGUACCGACUGCUUGAAGCCGUGGAGGAGUUGAAGAGUUAACUUGUCCUCAGCAAUCGACGCCUGUCCUUCUUGAUGGUUCUAACAAGCAGGUUUGCUCUCAUUCUAUAUUAAUAGUCAAGCUACGAUUUGGCAUUAAAAAUUAUCAAAUUAUCCGGCAGGUUGGAUUUGGCGUUAAAAGUUAAGGAAUCUCGUCAAAAUUUAUUCAUUAACUGUGCUGGAAUUUUUUUCAAACAGGUUAAUAUCGACAAUGAGCUGAAGUGGAAGCAUCUGUUUUUGUUACUCUCGACGUAGGCAUUGAAGAUUGUUACAUUUCAUAUCUCAAGCCAGUUUAUGAGGGAAUAAGAAGAUACGAUGGGUAUCGGAUUGNCCCCCGCCCCCGCGACGAACCCACCCUCCCCCCCCCCCGCGACGACCCACUUCCCUUCCGCACCCAUGGAAGCCCAGCUCCGGUCCCCCCCUCUCUCUCUCUCUCUGACACAAAAAAAAUCUCCGGUCCCCCCUCUCUCUCUCUCUCUGACACAAAAAAAAAUAAAAAAUUGCAAAGCCCUCGGGCCACAGGCCCGUCGACUCCCCACCCCCCUUCGCUCGGGCUCCCACCGUCGCUCGGGCUCCACACGGCUGGAGCUCAGUCCACAUGGCCUCGGGCCCUUUCCUCUCCACUGUCCCCCGAGCAACCAGCAAGGCUGGAGUUGCUCUAAAAGUGAAUGUCAUGGAUAAUUUUGAUGACCAAAGCAAUAGUUAAAGAACCAAACUGAUGAGUUGUCAAAUAACUGGUUUGUUCACCUUUUGCAUUUCAACUUAAUCAUCCAUUUUACGUAAAAACCCACAGAGACUAGUAAACCUAAAGGGGUAAUUACACAAAACACCCAUUGAAGAUUUCUAUGUUUUCACAAAACUCGCUCAGAUUUAUAAACUUACAUUAAUACCCCCUAAGAUUUUUAAUUCAUUUUCACGUAAACCCUUCAAGGACAAGUUUACCCUCAUUGCUAAUUAAUUAAAAAAAAAUUAAUAGAAAAAAUCAAAUUUGUUACAGUCUUAUUAGAUUAGAAAAAGUCAAACAUGUUGACUAAAUAGAAACCAUGUUGGAUAGUGGCCAACUUGGCAUCCACUUUCGGCUAAGAGCAAUUCCACCCUUAAAAAAAUGCGCCAGCACCCAGCCCAUUUAAUCCACUUACUGAACAGUGAUAGACCAUAAUGAACAAUAAUAGACCAAAUGCAUCUCCACUCCUAAAACUAAAUAGCCUAAUCAAUUUUAUAUUAAAAUUUUAUUAAUUUUUAUUAUAAAAUAAUAAAAAUUAAUCACUCUCUCCCUCACAAUCUUCAACCUCACCUCAAUCCCUCUCUGACUCACCCGAUUCCCACAAUCCAAUCCACACCCACAUCUUCCUGCAUCUCAUUUCACAGCUAUACUCCACAAUUGCAGUCGUAGUGGGACGAAAUCUUGACGUCUCUACAUCUCCACAUCUUCCUCGCUUUGCCCCUCCCAUUUGCUUCAUCUUCCUUGCUUCACCCAUCCCACUAAGCUCAUUUUCAGUUUUUUCGCCGUUGGGAGAAUACCCAAAUACCACAGCCCAAUUGAAAAUCGGCCGGCGAGAUCUUCGAAUUGGGGUGGAAGGAAAGCAGAGAGCUUCAAAUUCAGCUCAAGGAGGAGUGGCGGUAUCGCCUGGGGUCAUGUAGGCCGGGCAAGGUGUCACGCCCUAAAAUUUUUAUUUUAUUUUAUUUUUUUUUUUGGAGCAUGAAUAACAAGGGUAACUUAAAGGUAGUAACAGGUGUCUGUGUUGAACUAAAACAUUUCAUUAAACAAAAUAAUUUACAUUGUCAUUACACGUAAGAGAAAACGACAACAACUCCAUAACAAGUUUAAACUAUUUAUAAGCAGUCUCUUUCUUCCGAGUCAGCCACUAGAUUCCUGUCUAUUCUCCUGUAACACAACUAAUAAGGGGUGAGCUAAAAGCUCAGUAGGGGCCCAAGGUCUCACGUGAUUAAUAUUAUGAAUGUUAUGAAUAUUUUAUGAAUAAUGUAAUGCAAGAACAAUACUUCUUUUCUACCCAACCCGUUAACCUAUAUAUUGAAGCAACCAGACAUGCAUGUCCCAUACCAUGCAUUUUACCACUGUGGCCCCGAGUGCUUUAAUAUAUAGAAUAACCCCCAUCAACUCACCCAAGUUCAUAAUCCCUUUUGCUAGUCAUCUUAUCUGAUUCAUUGAUCUCCAGCCCAAAUCACCCACAUCGACAAUUUCCGUCGAUAUCCUAUUCUAUUGUGCACAUCGGGCUCGCCUGGAACUGGUUUCACAAUGAGCAGACUCAACUACACAAAAGCUAAUUUCCACCUUUUCCCACAACACAAGUAACUCAUUUACUUCUUUGACAAAUGAUAAUGAUCAUGCCAAUAUAUAAUAUACCACAUAACAAUCAUAUCUAAGUCAAUAGUUGAAUACAUCUCAAGUCCACAUAACAAUAUUUCCCGUAAUACAAGUAACAAAUGCAAUCAAUUAAUUCCCCAAAUUCCCCUACCUUGAAUCCUCUCUUCUUACUCCACGAGUACUUCUUUUGCUUAUCUCCUUUUAACACUCUCUUACACACUUUCUACAUACGGGGCGUAUUGCACUUUGCAAGAGGAAAAAUCUAACACAUAUGGAGCAUUGCUCCUAUUUAUACCAUAAAUAAGGCGGCAAAGUGGUUCUCAUUGGUUAUCAGUUUCAACAUCAAAAUGCUACUCCACCAUUCCACGUUAGCUAUAGGCUUGCUUAAUCACCAACCUAGGCUUCAAUAGUCAUCACCCUAAGGUGCUUACUAAGCACCCUAAAAAGCCCUACAUGAUAACACCUCAACUACAUUCUUUUCACCAACAAGUUAAUCUAAUGUCCUUGGGUCGGCAUAUGGAGUGAACUACGUGGCAAACUUUGCCACUCCAAGAAAGCCAUUUGACCUCACUUUCCUAGUCCAAAAGAGUUAAUAACCAUUUUAUAAGGUUCGUAGUAAAUUAAUUUCAACCCAAACUUAACUAACCUAAGUUAAAUAAAAGAUGUCCCCCUUUAAGCAAGAUUAAAUAAAAAAGAGAAGUCUAAAAGUUUAAUCAAAAUGAGCACGUAGGAAAAAAAGGUGUAUAAAAUUAAGAAAUUAUGGGACUCCACAAUCUACCCUCCUUAAAUAAUUUCGUCCUCGAAAUUUAAAACAUACCGGUGACGAAAAAUAAUUCUGGGUACUUUUCUCUCAUUUCAGCUUCUAAUUCCCAUGUAGCUUCCUCUACAUUCCCAUGUAGCCAGAGAACUUUGACUAACGAAAUAGUCUUUGUACGUAACCUUUGAUCCUUAUGGUCUAAUAUCUGUAUCGGUCUCUCUUCGAAUGAUAAUUUUCUCAUCGACGCUCAGUUCUCCCCAAUUUAGAACAUGUGUUGGAUCCGGCUGAUACUUCCGAAGCAUUGAGACAUGAAACACGUUAUGUACAUUCGAAAGUUGGGGUGGUAAUGCUAACUUGUAAGCCACCUCUCCAAUUCGUUCUAAUAUUUCAAAAGGUCCAAUAAAUCUUGGAGCUAAUUUUCCAAAUUUUCCAAAUCUUUUAACUCCUUUUCUUGGUGAAACCUUAAGAAAGACAUGAUCGCCAAUGUUAAACUGUAAUGGCCUUCUCCUUUUUAUCAGCGUAAUUCUUUUGUCGACUUUGAGCAGUAAGCAAGCGUUGUUUAAUAACCUUGAUCUUCUCUGUAGUUUCUUGUAUUAUCUCUGGUCCUAGUAAAACAUUUUCACCUACUUCCGCCCAACACAAAGGGGAUCGGCAUGGUCUUCCAUAAAGUGCUUCAUAGGGUGCCAUCCCUAUACUUGAUUGAAAACUAUUGUUGUAAGCAAAUUCUGCUAAAGAAAGAUGAUCUUCCCAGCUUCCAUGAAAAUCCAAGACACAAGCUCGUAGCAUAUCUUCUAAAAUUUGAAUAGUUCUCUCUGAUUGACCAUCAGUUUGGGGAUGAAAUGCACUACUAAAAUUCAAUUGAGUCCCUAAAGCUCGUUGCAAACUAUCCCAAAACUGAGAAGUAAAUUUCGAAUCUCUAUCCGAAACAAUUGACAAUGGAAUUCCAUGUAAUUUAACUAUCUCUUGAAUAUAAAUCUUGCCAAGGAUUUCUGUGGAAUCCGUCGUUUUCACUGGUAUGAAAUGCGCAGAUUUAGUCAAACGAUCUACAAUGACCCAAACAGCAUCUUUCUUUUUAGGUGAAUGUGGUAAACCCGUAACGAAAUCCAUAGUUAUAUGAUGAUCCCACUUCCAUUCUGCAACAGGUAAAGGUUGAAGAGAGCCAGCUGGUUUUUUGAUGUUCAGCCUUUACUUGCUGACAAGUCAAACACUUGGAUACAAAUACUGCUAUAGCUUUCUUCAUACCAUUCCACCAAAACUGACGAUGCAAAUCGUGAUACAUUUUUGUACUGCCUGGAUGAAUAGUGUAUGACGAGUAGUGUGCUUCAUGAAGAAUGUCAUCCCGCAAUUCUUGGACAUCUGGUACAUAUAAUCUGCCUAAGUAUUUUAGACUAUCAUCCUCAUGAAGAGUCCAUCCUUCAGGCUUAUCUCCAGCUAAAAUUUUCUCUCGAAUUGACUUAGAAAAAACAUCAUCUUGUUUUUUUUCGACUACUUUUCCCAACAAAGUAGGUCUUGUAACCAAAUUAUAAAGACAUGCCUUAUUUUCAUGUAUGUUCACAUGUAAUUCGUAGUCCAAAAUAAACUCAAUUAGUUUCCACUUUUGGAUAUGUAACCAUGCUAUAUAUCCAUGCGAUUUUCUACUUAAGGCAUCCGCUACGACAUUGGCUUUCCCAGGGUGAUAGUGUAAACCAAAGUCAAAAUCUUCUAAAUAUUCCAUCCAACGUCGUUGUCUUAAAUUGAGCUCUUUCUGAGUAAAAAGAUAUUUCAAACUUUUAUGAUCUGAGUAAAGCUCAAAUCGCUCACCAUAUAGGUAAUGUCUCCAGGUCUUCAAAGCAUGCACAAUUGCAGCUAACUCUAAGUCAUGUGUUGGAUAAUUCCUUUCAUGUGUUUUCAAUUGGCGAGAAGCAUAAGCUACUACUCUAUCAGAUUGCAUCAAAACACAUCCCAGUCCUCGUAAAGAUGCAUCAGUAUAAACUACAUAAUUUACGCCUCUUUCAGGAAUAAUUAAUAUUGGCGCUGUCGUCAAGCGAGUCUUUAAUGCUUGAAAUGACUCUUCACAGUCCUUAUUCCAUACAAACUUCAUUCCUUUUUGUGUCAACUUGGUCAUUGGUGUAGCUAUUCGAGAAAAAUCCUUUAUAAACCUUCUGUAAUAUCCAGCCAAUCUAAGAAAACUCUGUAUUUCCGAUACAUUCUUUGGUUGGUUCCAAUUCAAUACUGCUUCCACCUUAGAAGAAUCGACUGCAAUGCCCUCACUGGAAAUUAUAUGUCCUAAAAACUUUACUUCUGACAUCCAAAAUUCACAUUUACUCAACUUGGCAUACAAUUUAUUUUCUCUUAAAGUUUGUAGAACGGUUCGUAAAUGAUCCUCAUGCUCCUCUUUGGUUCUAGAAUAAACCAAAAUGUCAUCAAUGAAUACGAUCACAAAUUGAUCCAAGCAAUGUUGAAAGAUUCGAUUCAUCAUAUCCAUAAAUGCUGCUGCUGGUGCAUUUGUCAAUCUGAAAGGCAUAACAAGAAAUUCAUAAUGCCCAUAACGAGUCCUGAAGGCUGUUUUAGGAAUAUCUUCUGUUUUGACUCGAAGUUGAUGAUAACCUGAUCGGAGAUCAAUCUUUGAAAAAUAUUGUGCACCUUUCAGCUGAUCAAAUAAAUCAUCAAUCCUAGGUAGAGGGUACUUAUUCUUUAUAGUGAUUCUAUUUAACAACCGAUAAUCGAUGCACAAUCUAAGGGUUGCAUCACUUUUCCUCACAAAUAAUGCAGGAGCACCCCAAGGUGAAACACUGGGCCGAAUGAAUCCUUUCUCUUGAAGUUCUUGAAGUUGCUUUUUGAGUUCUUUCAGUUCUGCUGGUGCCAUUCGAUGAGGAGGUAUAGAAAUAGGCUUUGAAUCUGGGUGUAAUUCUAUCACAAACUCCACUUCACGCUUUGGUGGCAAUCCAGAUAACUCUUCGGGGAACACAUCAAUGAAUUCCUUUAUGAUAGGAAUUAAUUCUUCUUGUGACCCACUAAUUUCUUCGGUUAUAAUGUUGGCUAACAAGCCCAAAUAAUCAAGUUUUCUUUUAUGCACUUUGUGAGGCUGCUUAUCCCCAUAGAAACUGAAAGUUUUCCCCUCAGGAGGAUUUAUUGUAAUUUUCUUCGUACUGUAAUCAAUUAUAACCUCAUAUUUUUUAAGCCAAUCCACUCCUAAGAUAAUAUCAUACUCCAACAUGUCUAAUAUCUUCAAAUCAAAAGGAAUUCUAUAGUUUGACAUUUCUAUCUCGCAAGAUUUACACACUUUAGCAACCUCUUUGCUCCCACACAAAGGAGACCCAACUAACAAAGAAAAUUCCAUGUUUUGAGUUUCUAACCCAAGAGUAGAUGCAAAACAUUUUGAUAUAAACGAGUGUGUAGCACCACCAUCAAAUAAUACUCUAGCUGAAGAGUUGAAAACUAGAAACGUACCUUCCACUAGUUCAUGCUCAGCUUGACUUGUCACAUUUCCUAUAGUAUAAACUCGUCCCUGUGUGAGUUGUCCAGAUUUCUUAUUUGGAGGAGCUCUUGGUCUGGCUUGUGAAAAUUGCCCUUCUAGACGUUGUGACUGUUGAAUAACUUGUGGUCUUGGCCAAUUUCCUUGAGUUUGAUAAGGGACAUAGUUUUGAGGUGGUGGUGCACGAAAUUGUGUUUGUGGAGUAUAAAAUUGUACUUGGGGGGCACGAUAUUGCACUUGAGGUCCUUGAUUCCUUUGUUGUCGUGGACAAUUUUUCUUAAUAUGUCCGAUUUGCUGACAGUGAUAACAUUUUUGCGGUUCUUGGCUUCCCAGUGGUUGAUACGGAAAAGGAUUAAAUCUUGUCCGCUUAUUGGUAUGUUCACUGCUAAAGUCCUUAUGAUCCGAAAUUCUCUUAUUUUCAGACCGUUCCGCUAUGUACGCUCUUUCCUUUACAUCAGCAUACCUGCUUAACUUUAGAAUUUCCACCUUUUCCAAGAUUGAUUGUCUCAACCCUUCUUCAAAUUUCCUUGCUUUUGCGGUAUCGUCGGGAAUCAUAUAAGGUGCAAAACGCAUAAGCUCUUCAAAUUUAGCCUCAUAUUCAACAAUAGUUAAUUCUCCUUGUACGAGAUUAACAAACUCUCUUGCUUUCAUACUCCUCAAAGUACUUGGGAAAUACUUUUCUAAGAAGAUAGUCUCAAAUUCUUCCCAAGUUGUAACUUGUGUAUCUGGAAUACUUAAAAUUGACUCCCACCAAUGGUAUGCUUGUCCUUCUAAAUAAGUACAAGCAACAAUCACUCGAACGUCUUCUGGAAUCUUUUGGUUAUCCAUUUUUCUCUUCAUCUGCCUCAACCAUUCUUCAGCGGCUAUAGGAUUUGGCUCACCACUAAAUAUAGUUGGUUUUGUCUUGCGGAAUUCUCCUUGUAUUCUCAUAACUCGAUUUUCUUCAGUUUCAUGAUAUUGGUUAUGGUUAUUACUUUCUCUAAUUGCUGUGGCCAUAUCCUGAAUAGCUAAAAUUACUUCGACAUUUCCGUUGAACUCAUUUUGAUUGUUUGCCAUCUCGAAUCCAACAAAGAAAUUAUGUCAAAAUAAAAGAAAGAAAGAAAUCAUAAUAAUAUAAAGUAUAUGGUAAUACCAAGACAAUUAAGAAAACAUAUAUUUACUAACAUUUAUACGAUUUUACAGCAAAAAGUUGUUCAAACUAUUUUAACUAACUUACCCUAUGCUACAACAAAAGGUCUUAUGCUCUACUUCCCACUGCCUUACUAUUUUACAACAAAAGACUAGUAGUCAGUUUGUAAGACUUUGGAGAGCAUUUAUUUUUACACAACUACCACCUUCUUCGUCCUUUUUAAUCUUCCUCAUCCGAAUGGAUGAUGAUCAUUUCUGGUGGUGUAUGUCGUGGUGGUGUAGCACUUUUAAUUGAACUUUCACUUGGAUCUUCUUCUCCACCUUCGUUUUCCUUUUUGUACUGACUCAUUUGGUGGUUCUCUAGCCAAAGGAUUUUCGAGAUCUACUGGAGGCCACCUAUUUCCAUUCUCUUCUAUAAGUUCCACUACUACGGAAUUGUAAACAUUAUCAUUAUUGAUUCCAUCAUCAUCAGCAGCUUCAACAACAUGCCUUCUUGUUCUAAUGCUAUGCUUUGCAAUACGCUUUUGGGCUUGAAAGGUGUAAUUGCGCCUUCUAAUUGCGGUCUGUUUAAUUAUCUCCUUAACCAGAUCUCGGGUGGCACUUCGAAUAAGGCUUUUAUAUCGAUCAGGAUUUGUUGGAAUACACCCAUAAUAGGAGAGGUGGAAUUCUCCACACGAUCCAUCACUUAUAUUAGACUCCAUUGUAUCUGUCAAGGCCAUAAAGAAAUAAGACAUCUAGAAUACAAUAAUUGUAUAACAGCUUGUCAAACUUGUAACAAAACAAAACUUCCUUCUUAAAGGUAAGAAUACUUAAACUGGAAAUUCUAACUCAAAGGAUUGUAAACCUAAUGCUCUGAUACCAAUUUGUCACGCCCUAAAAUUUUAUUUUUUUUUAUUUUUUUUUUUGGAGCAUGAAUAACAAGGGUAACUUAAAGGUAGUAACAGGUGUCUGUGUUGAACUAAAACAUUUCAUUAAACAAAAUAAUUUACAUUGUCAUUACACGUAAGAGAAAACGACAACUACUCCAUAACAAGUUUAAACUAUUUAUAAGCAGUCUCUUUCUUCCGAGUCAGCCACUAGAUUCCUGUCUCUUCUCCUGUAACACAACUAAUAAGGGUGAGCUAAAAGCUCAGUAGGGGCCCAAGGUCUCACGUGAUUAAUAUUAUGAAUGUUAUGAAUAUUUUAUGAAUAAUGUAAUGCAAGAACAAUACUUCUUUUCUACCCAACCCGUUAACCUAUAUAUUGAAGCAACCAGACCUGCAUGUCCCAUACCAUGCAUUUUACCACUGUGGCCCCGAGUGCUUUAAUAUAUAGAAUAACCCCCAUCAACUCACCCAAGUUCAUAAUCCCUUUUGCUAGUCAUCUUAUCUGAUUCAUUGAUCUCCAGCCCAAAUCACCCACAUCGACAAUUUCCGUCAAUAUCCUAUUCUAUUGUGCACAUCGGGCUCGCCUGGAACUGGUUUCACAAUGAGCAGACUCAACUACACAAAAGCUAAUUUCCACCUUUUCCCACAACACAAGUAACUCCUUUACUUCUUUGACAAAUGAUAAUGAUCAUGCCAAUAUAUAAUAUACCACAUAACAAUCAUAUCUAAGUCAAUAGUUGAAUACAUCUCAAGUCCACAUAACAAUAUUUCCCGUAAUACAAGUAACAAAUGCAAUCAAUUAAUUCCCCAAAUUCCCCUACCUUGAAUCCUCUCUUCUUACUCCACGAGUACUUCUUUUGCUUAUCUCCUUUUUAACACUCUCUUACACACUUUCUACAUACGGGGCGUAUUGCACUUUGCAAGAGGAAAAAAUCUAACACAUAUGGAGCAUUGCUCCUAUUUUAUACCAUAAAUAAGGCGGCAAAGUGGUUCUCAUUGGUUAUCAGUUUCAACAUCAAAUGCUACUCCACCAUUCCACGUUAGCUAUAGGCUUGCUUAAUCACCAACCUAGGCUUCAAUAGUCAUCACGCUAAGGUGCUUACUAAGCACCCUAAAAGCCCUACAUGAUAACACCUCAACUACAUUCUUUUCACCAACAAGUUAAUCUAAUGUCCUUGGGUCGGCAUAUGGAGUGAACUACGUGGCAAACUUUGCCACUCCAAGAAAGCCAUUUGACCUCACUUUCCUAGUCCAAAAGAGUUAAUAACCAUUUUAUAAGGUUCGUAGUAAAUUAAUUUCAACCCAAACUUAACUAACCUAAGUUAAAUAAAAGAUGUCCCCCUUUAAGCAAGAUUAAAUAAAAAGAGAAGUCUAAAAGUUUAAUCAAAAUGAGCACGUAGGAAAAAGGUGUAUAAAAUUCAGAAAUUAUGGGACUCCACACAAGGGCUCAACACAUUCUGAGCCAACCUAGAUACCAGCUUGGGCUGGUAUUAGGAAAUAUUUUUCAUUACUCAAAAGAAUAACUUUACACUUGGGUUUUAUACAAAAGCAUCACAGCUUAACAUAAAAGGAAUCACUACCAAAACUAACUUAAUAUUCCUUAUCAUUACUUAAUCCCGAAGUAUUAUCCCUUGAAGGUGUAAUUACAUUUUUGUCCCUAAUACUGGGUGCCAGCCUAUCUGCUCGGCUGGAUACUGGGCCAAUAAUUUAGCGGGUACCAGCCUAAAGGUUCCCCGAUAGAACUGCUCUAAGAAAUAAAAGGGGAGACAUCAAGGGGACAAUGCUUGUUUUUCUUUUUGACUUUUGCAAAUGGAAAAAGGCUAUGUUUUCGGUGAAAGCACCAUUCUUUUGUUUUUUUUUUAGGAAAAUGUGAAAGCACCAUUCUUCUUUUUUUUUUUUUUUUUUUUUUUUUUUUUGGAAACGUGAAAGCACCAUUCUUUGGUGAAAAGAAUAGUGUGGUCUUUUGUUUUCUGAGAGAAAAAAAGAGAGAGCUACGCAGAGCUCAAAAUUGGCAGAGAGUUGAGAGCACAGAGGGUGCACCAGAAAAACAGAGAAGGAGCGGAUGAGUAAGAGGAUGAAUGGGGGUGAGGGUGAGGGUGGUGAACGGAUCAGCCUUUUCGACAGGUCUCAAAACGAAAUCAUGAAGCUCAUUUUUGCAGUGAAUUACCGUGUUCCUGAUGAGGGCCAUGCCAGCUUUGAUGUUCAUGCUAUUUUCUCGACUAGUCAGAAAAUCAUUAAGGAUUCGGCCAACAUCAUUCACAAUAUUAAUGAGCAGGUAUUUAUACUGCUGCUCCUUUCUAUCUACU